ACACUAACCACAUGCUCCACUUUCAGCUGAUCUCCUGUUUUUACUUUGUUAUAUAUCUGGAAGGGGGAUACAAAUACAAGUUUGCAGAACCACACCAGACGACUGUGUCAAACCGCAUCCCUUCUUUUCUCAUUUUAUCGCUAUUGAACAACAAGGGAUUUCUCUUUCAGAACAGGAAUCUCAGGGGACUGCACUUUCACAGCAUUCUUCCUCCUAACAACAUAUGAAAGAGAAAGGGACCAGAAAAUGCCAAUUCCAUCUUGAUUAGCAAGACCUAAGAGACUGCCACUUCUGCACAAGAAAUGGAAAGGAUAAAUCAAAACCGACAAUGAAACCACUGUAUUUGUUAAACAGCAAACAAUAAAAUGAUUCAAGAUGAGAAAGGAAGAUGUCUUCUAACAUUACUCCAAUGAAGCAAACUACGAGGAGACAACUCGCAGUGAACUGUGUAACACCAAGUUUAAAAAGGAAUACCGGUAUAACCAUCAGUCAGUGGUUCUAAAAGUUCGAACCACAUAUUCAUGGGUUACUAUCUUUAAAACUGAAUAAUGGGAACAUCACUAGCACCAUAAGCAUCAGCAGAGCUGUAAAGAUUUUCCUCAUAAAAAUCUUCACACAUUUGUUAGUGCAGAGGGUACCAAAGAUAUACAAACAUUUCAAAAUCCCAGUUCUUUAGUCUACUGUAUACAGAUGGACUCAGAUUUGGCACACAAUGAAACCAGCAUAUACCUACGAAACCUUAGCUCGAGUGUACGAAGCACCUGUCAGUUCAGGAUUUUUGAUAUUCUGAAAUGUUUUGUAACACAGAUACCUCCUUCCUGGGCCUCACACAAUGCUCUGCAAAACAUUUGAGGAUUUCCCCUGUG